UGUACAGCUUCUCUCUCGCCGUGAAAUUCCAUUACCCCCUUUUCGUUAGAUCUCUUCUCCUUGAUUUCUCGGCUUUCAAUUCGUUCGACGAUCUGCGUUUUGAUUAUGGAUUCGAGUGUUUUCGUUGAGCGAUUCGCUUCCGAUCUUCGAUUCAGAGAUAUGUGGUACAAGACUCAUCCUUUCUUCGGCCAUGGGUGAAUUGACUGGAAAUCGAAAGAUCUAUCGAGGCUCUUAGGCUAUGUUUGUUCUGAACCAUUAGUGCUCGGGCUUUGUUCGUUUGGUUCGAUGCGAAACCUUGCUGUCUUUCUGAAAUUCUUGAGAUCUAAAACGCUCGGUUAGAUCGGUGCAAUCAAUUCAGAUCUCGUGAUUCUUUAUGGAUUCAGAUCGGAUUUUGAUAUGUAGCUGUGAAGGAUUGCUAAAGUGUUUCUUUAUGCUUUUUUUUGAUGGGCUUUCUUUUGUCAUCUUUUUGGUAUAAUAAAGAAGAUAGUUUGUGUGUGUGUGUGUGUUUUCGGUGUAUACCAGAGAGGUAUAGCCUAGGCUAACAAAAAAAAUGUGAGAUGUGUAAUGUUCUACUGGUUGUCAAUCGACCUUUGCCAUGUCAGGUGCGCUUGCUUGGCAGGUCAAAAAAACCCUAAUAAAAAGUUUGUUUUUUGUGUUUGAGGAGGAGAUGGUACGGGGUUUUGCCCGGCUCUCCCCUUCUUGUGUGUUGCGUCUCUCUUUUUUAUUUUUUUAUUUUUUUUGGGUUUUUUCUUGAUUCUGUCCUCCCCAAUUCUCUAUCCAACCCAAUCCGUUGUUCAUCGUGUC